ACGCUUCUUUUUCCACCGGAGCUUGCUCCACCGGAAAAAGAGGAGUGGCGAACGGGUGAGUAACACGUGGGUAACCUGCCCAUCAGAAGGGGAUAACACUUGGAAACAGGUGCUAAUACCGUAUAACAAUCGAAACCGCAUGGUUUUGAUUUGAAAGGCGCUUUCGGGUGUCGCUGAUGGAUGGACCCGCGGUGCAUUAGCUAGUUGGUGAGGUAACGGCUCACCAAGGCCACGAUGCAUAGCCGACCUGAGAGGGUGAUCGGCCACAUUGGGACUGAGACACGGCCCAAACUCCUACGGGAGGCAGCAGUAGGGAAUCUUCGGCAAUGGACGAAAGUCUGACCGAGCAACGCCGCGUGAGUGAAGAAGGUUUUCGGAUCGUAAAACUCUGUUGUUAGAGAAGAACAAGGAUGAGAGUAACUGUUCAUCCCUUGACGGUAUCUAACCAGAAAGCCACGGCUAACUACGUGCCAGCAGCCGCGGUAAUACGUAGGUGGCAAGCGUUGUCCGGAUUUAUUGGGCGUAAAGCGAGCGCAGGCGGUUUCUUAAGUCUGAUGUGAAAGCCCCCGGCUCAACCGGGGAGGGUCAUUGGAAACUGGGAGACUUGAGUGCAGAAGAGGAGAGUGGAAUUCCAUGUGUAGCGGUGAAAUGCGUAGAUAUAUGGAGGAACACCAGUGGCGAAGGCGGCUCUCUGGUCUGUAACUGACGCUGAGGCUCGAAAGCGUGGGGAGCAAACAGGAUUAGAUACCCUGGUAGUCCACGCCGUAAACGAUGAGUGCUAAGUG
rnacentral:rRNA from 1 species